rnacentral:rRNA from 1 species
AUUGAACGCUGGCGGCAGGCCUAACACAUGCAAGUCGAACGGAUGAGGGGAGCUUGCGCCUGGAUUCAGCGUCGGACGGGUGAGUAAUACCUAGGAGUCUGCCUGGUAGGAGUUGGUGACAACCUGAGACAGCCGCUAAUACCACAUACUUCCUGAUGGAGAAAGUUGGUGGGCUUCGGACCUCACGCGAGCAUAUGAGCUUAGGUCGGAUUAGCUAGUUGGUGGGUUAAAUGCCUCCCAAGGCGACGAUCCGUGACUGGUCGGAGUGGAUGAUAAGUCACCUUGGAACUGAGCCACGGACAAGACUACUAAGGGAGGCCGCAGUGGGGAACAUUGGACAAUGGGCGAAAGCAUGAUACAGCCAUGCCGCGUGUGUGAAGAAGGUCUUCGGAUUGUAAAGCACUUUAAGUUGGGAGGAAGGGCAGUAAGUUAAUACCUUGCUGUUUUGACGUUACCAACAGAAUAAGCACCGGCUAACUUCGUG